rnacentral:rRNA from 1 species
AUGGCGGCGGCCAUGGAGCAGAGCAACGGGGGCGGCGGCGUGAAGGUCAAGUUCAUCGAGACGCAGUUCGUCAGCUCCGACGCCGCCAACUUCAAGUCCGUCGUGCAGCGGCUCACCGGCAAGUACUCCAAGAUGCCGCCGCCGGCGUCCUCGGUACACAGGCCUCGCCCAAGGCCCUGCGGCAGACCCGACCAACAAGGGCGGCCUUGCGUCUCCGGCAGCGACGAGCUGAUGAUGGCUGCGCCGGCGAAGCCAGCGGCGGCAGCUUUCGAGCCGCUGCGCGUGGAGGAGGUGAACGAGCUCUGCGACUUCGCCGAUCUGCUCUACGCCGCCCCAAGCGCGCGGCGCCACGGCGGGAGCGUCGUAAAUGGCUUUCCUUACUGA